rnacentral:lncRNA from 1 species
UUAGACAUCUUUGGUUCCUUCAACAAAGUCAUGUAAGGCCGUUGUGAUGGGGAUUCAUCGUGAUUCUGGUACACACUACUUGUAUGUUGCUUUAUGGAGUUUAGUAACGUCAUACGCAUGCAGAAGUUGAAUAUCACAAUAUUUUUUGGAGAUUUUAAAAGCAUAGUAUAUGAGAGUAAGGUCACAGGGUGUAUUGUAUUUGUUAGAAUAGAAGGUGGCCGUAAUGUCUUGUUUCUAUUUUGUCAUAUCUUUUGUAAGACAUUUUGAAUUUAGUUUAGCACACCUUGUGCUAAAAUAAAAAAAAGUUUAAUGGAUCGAGUAAUACAUUUUGGACUUAGUUUGGCACACCUUGUGCUACAACUGAGUUUUUACUUUUAAUAAUACAUCAAUUGCCUUUAAAAAAAAAAAAAAGGGUACACCUAUGCGCCCACUCAAACUAGAAAAAAAUUCUUUGAA